rnacentral:rRNA from 1 species
UGGUGGAGUGAUUUGUCUGGUUAAUUCCGUUAACGAACGAGACCUCGGCCUACUAAAUAGCAGACCGAACUCUUUGGGUUCGCGUCGGCUUCUUAGAGGGACUAUCGGUUUGCAGCCGAUGGAAGCACGAGGCAAUAACA